rnacentral:rRNA from 1 species
UGAGUACGAGAUGCUACGGCAUCGAAGCAGUCUAUGUCAUACUUCCAAGAAAAGCUUGCACUGUCAUAAACAAAGAAUGCCUGUACCAUAACCGACACAGGUGGGUAGGUAGAGUAUACUAAGGGGCGCGAGAUAACUCUCUCUAAGGAACUCGGCAAAAUGACUCCGUAACUUCGGGAGAAGGAGUGCCUUAUUUCUAAGGUUGCAAUAACAAGAUCCAAGCAACUGUUUACCAAAAACACAGGUCUCCGCUAAGUCGUAAGACGAUGUAUGGGGGCUGACGCCUGCCCAGUGCCAGAAGGUUAAAGAAGUUGGUUAGCAUUAGCGAAGCUGAUAACUGAAGCCCUGGUGAACGGCGGCCGUAACUAUAACGGUCCUAAGGUAGCGAAAUUCCUUGUCGGGUAAGUUCCGACCCGCACGAAAGGCGUAAUGAUUUGGAUACUGUCUCGGAGAGGGGCUCGGUGAAAUAGACUUGUCUGUGAAGAUGCGGACUACCUGCACCUGGACAGAAAGACCCUAUGAAGCUUUACUGUAACUUGAGAUUGAAAUUGGACUUUAUUUGCGCAGUAUAGGUGGGAGGCGUUGAGAAUAAUCUUGCGGGAUUGUUGGAGCCAUCAGUGAGAUACCACUCUUGUAAUGUUAGAUUUCUAACUUUGUAUCAUUAUCUGGUCAAAGAACAGUUUCAGGCGGGCAGUUUGACUGGGGCGGUCGCCUCCCAAAGGGUAACGGAGGCGCACAAAGGUUUCCUCUGAACGGGUAGAAAUCGUAUCUAGAGUGUAAAGGCAUAAGGAAGCUUGACUGUGAGACCUACAAGUCGAGCAGGGACGAAAGUCGGUCUUAGUGAUCUGACGGUGCUGAGUGGAAAGGCCGUCACUCAACGGAUAAAAGUUACUCUAGGAUAACAGGCUGAUCUCCCCCAAGAGUUCACAUCGACGGGGAGGUUUGGCACCUCGAUGUCGGCUCAUCGCAUCCUGGGGCGGUAGUCCGUCCCAAGGGUUGGGCUGUUCGCCCAUGAAAGCGGUACGCGAGCUGGGUUCAGAACGUCGUGAGACAGUUCGGUCCAUAUCCGGUGUAGGCGUUAGAAUAUUGAGAGGAGCCUUCUCUAGUACGAGAGGACCGAGAAGGACAUACCUCUGGUGUACCAGUUAUCGUGCCAACGGUAAACGCUGGGUAGCUAUGUAUGGAGUGGAUAACCGCUGAAAGCAUCUAAGUGGGAAGCCCACCUCAAGAUAAGUAUUCUCAUG